rnacentral:misc_RNA from 1 species
ACACAUAGCAAUUUCCGAUCAAUAAUAGAGACAGAUUGAGCGUUCACACGUCAGAAUGAAUUGAGGAGAUGCCGCCACGGCUUUUGAUUUGACUAACAAUUCCCCAUUAUCAGAUUCUGUGAGACGCAUAUCUGUGGACCUACAUGUAACCUGUGUUGGAGUCUUUUCUUGUGCAUUUGUCUCUCACCUAAGACAACGGUAUGACA